CCUACGGGGGGCUGCAGUGGGGAAUAUUGCACAAUGGGGGAAACCCUGAUGCAGCGACGCCGCGUGAGUGAAGAAGUAUUUCGUUAUGUAAAGCUCUAUCAGCACGGAAGAAAAUGACGGUACCUGUGUAAGACGCACCGGCUAAAUACGUGCCAGCAGCCGCGGCACUACGAAGGGGGCAAGCGUUAUCCGGAUGUACUGGGUGUAAAGGGAGCGUAGACGGCAGGGCAAGUCUGAAGUGAAAGGCGUGGGCUCAACCCCCGAACUGCUUUUGAAACUGUACGGCUGGAGUGCAGGAGAGGUAAGUGGAAUUCAUAGUGUAGCGGUGAAAUGCGUAGAGAUCAGGAGGAACACCAGUGGCGAAGGCGGCUUACUGGACUGUAACUGACGUUGAGGCUCGAAAGCGUGGGGAGCAAACAGGAUUAGAUACCCGAGUAGUC
rnacentral:rRNA from 1 species